AUUGAACGCUGGCGGCGUGCUUAACACAUGCAAGUCGAGCGGUAACAGGCGUAGCAAUACGUGCUGACGAGCGGCGAACGGGUGCGUAAUACAUCGGAAUCUGCCUAGUAGUGGGGAAUAACCCGGCGAAAGCCGGGCUAAUGCCGCAUACGAUCCACGGAUGAAAGCGGGGGGACUUUCGGGCCGUCGCGCUAUUAGAUGAGCCGAUGCCGGAUUAGCUAGUGGUGGAGGUAACGGCUCACCAAGGCGACGAUCCGUAGCUGGUCUGAGAGGACGGCCAGCCACACUGGGGACUGAGACACGGGCCCAGACUCCUACGGGAGGCAGCAGUGGGGAAUAUUGGACAAUGGGGGAAACCC
rnacentral:rRNA from 1 species